GGCACUGUGGGGUAAUGGUUAACCUGAGGCUUCACUAUGAUUUCUCCAUUUUGUGACGUAGCCUAACUGCGAGUUCGAAUCUCGCCAGCGCCG